UUGGAGGAUUAGAAGACUUCAACUUACAAACGUGAAGGAUUUCAAGACUUCUACUUGCAUACUUGAAGAAUUUGAAGACUUCAGCA
rnacentral:pre_miRNA from 1 species